GUUUUAUCCUGGCAUGUUCAUCGAGGCAACCCCGAACUUUGAAUGCGAGUACUUGAGUGACACGGGCAUCUUUGCGUUCUGUUACUCAGAACAGUUACCCGUUGCGCAUUGCGUUCGCUCCUUGUACCGUGCCUUGGGGUUCAAUUGCCCCUCAGGGAACUACCCCUGCCGUCUCGGGCGUACAUUCUUUUCAUGUUCCGAGUUGCCUGAAUCAGUAAUUGACUCGUAGAUAUAACGGUCCCACGUCCCACGACCCGGGUCGCGAUACAGUCGAUAACAAUGGUGAUUUUUUCGAGAAUAUCGUCACAUUUUUUUUUUUCUUUUAUUAUUGAUUUUCCACCAGACCAUUAGUCGAAUUAAUUUUCUCGACGACAAAAUAUUGACUCCUUGAUCGAAGAAACCCUCCAUCCAUCAUGCAUGCAGAUCGAACGAUUCUUUCAAACCGACUGAAUUGUAAGAUCAUAUUCUCUGACCAACGUCCAUAAGACACGCCAAGUGAACGUGAAGCCGGAGUAUAGUUUUAAUUUCCCGGGAUCUACGGAGGCCGCGAAUUUAGUAAUAUUUCUCGGCACAUUUAUCGCGAAGCAUGCUUGGCUACCAACAACCUGAACAUAAACCGCCUCUCACCGGCCUUACACCGACACUUUGGCGAUCGUAAUACCUAUGGACGAAUGUGCAUAUAACUACCGUACACCAAUGACCAAACAGUUGGCUUCCACCUUGUGAGAUGUACAAAAAUGGACUUGGCAAACUGCGGCAAUCUCGAAAAAAAGGAAAACAGGGCCGUACCUUUUACUACGUUCGCAAAACGAAAGCAUGCUGUAGCCGCAAGAAGACGCGACUGGUAGAAUCAGCAUGAAAAUCAGAAUCGUUCACCUUUUAGGACAGCGUUAUCGGUUACUUUAGGGCGCGGUUCACAUUACUGUACGUCAGCGGGGAUUGGAAGGCUCAACAAGCCUUCGAAACGUUAUCAACUCGUGGAAUACGCUCCUCGGUGAGAUGAGGAUUUAUCAUCAGGCUUUCGAAAUGGCAAACGCACGAUUGGUGUACAAACGACAGAUACUGUUUUCCUCAAGUGACGUACAUUACAUAUUUGGAAAUUCGUCCCGUCGCGUGUCUCCGACGAAAUUUUCUCACAUCGAAAACUAUUAUUAUCCGAGGUCUGUAAAGGGAGUUGGCGUAAUAAUUGCACACACCAUAAUCCGUCAUUGAUUUUGUAAAACGCCAAAGUUCAUCCAUAUUUCGAAAUCUUCAGAAUGAACGGACAAGGGGCGCUUCCUGUCUCAUCCUACUUGUUCAGUUAUUCGGACACGUAUGAAACGUUUGUUUCUCUACAUUCGGUAACUGCGGGACACAACGAUUCUUGGCCGCCGAUCGUCGGGAUCGUUUGUACGCACCAUUCAUCGAUACCGCACUGGUCCUGAUAUUACAAAAAAACGUAACGAACGAAAAACCGUUGCCGUUGCUAGUGGAAGAGCCAAUGGAAUGAAUUGUGAUUCAAUGCGAAAGAAAGGACGGCUAACGAUUGAAUUUGGAAUGUCGCGGGCGCGGCUCUGCCAUCCGGUUAAAUACGCCGUUGGGAGCUCGUACAACGUUGAAUAACGUAGGUGAAUACAUUAUACAUAUCGUUAUUAUACAUUCAGGGCAGGACGCUGUCUAUCUCUUUCCCAUGUACUCGGCCGACAUCAACCGUUUGUUCGAACACAACGUAGGACCAUCCCGCGCACGCAAUGAAAAGCGAAAUUGCCGGAGGCGACAAUCGGUUGAGACAAUUUGGCACCGGUGUCUAUAAUAUGAAUUAUUCCAGCAUCUUUACCAUCAGGGGCGACCUUUCGGCACGCAACACACACGCGCACAAGCUGUGCCGUGUAAAAAAUGUGUAUACGCCUACGGUUGUGUAUACCAUCCUUGACCACUGAUCAAAACAACAUCGAGCUUUGUGCCGCUAUAGGCGUAUAAUCUCGACGUUCCAUCUGCGCACCGCUCUCACAUUUCUAUCGAAAAUAUCAUAUAGCUCACGGCGAUUGCUGUUCUAAUUCAUAUUGUACAGCUAUAUCGUAUCACUCUCCGUCGCGGCAACAUGCUGCGAGUGCCGAAUCUCGAUUCUCAUUUCACCUGUUCAACCGAACAACCGAUCUAAGUACGAUCCGAUCGAGAGGCCGACUGUUAUGGAUAUUGGAAAUUAUUUACGCAAAUUGCGUAUACCUAUAUAAAAACGCACAACGCUUUUUCAAAUACUUUUUUUUAUCCCCUCCUAAUUGUCUUCCAAACCACGAUAUAAUAAUUAUGAUAAGUCAGCAGAAAGUGAAGGCGAGAGAGGGGGAAAGAAAGUCCAGAAUAAGAGCGGUCUCGAUUUCAGUUCGCGAACGUCCAGAAUGA